GCCGAAGUGGUGGAAUUUGGUAGACACGCUAUCUUGAGGGGGUAGUGGGCCACGCCCGUGCCGGUUCAAAUCCGGCCUUCGGCACCA
rnacentral:tRNA from 1 species